UGAGGUCUCUGGGUCUCUUCAUUCUGCAGC
rnacentral:piRNA from 1 species